AGAGGUUUUUUUUUUUUUUCUUUCCCUGUGUAUGUGGCAGGAGGAAGGAAUGGAGAGUGAAACCGGCCUGAAGCCUCCUCUUGACUGAAGGCAAAGAGCCCUGUAUUGUAAUAUUUUAGAUUUGAAAAUAGGAUAACAUUAAAAAGCUAUUUAAUUAGUUUUACAGGAAAACUGGCUGAGGACUUUAAAAGGUUCAGCUGGAACAGUGGCUGUCUUGCUGUUUAGAAGUAGGAAGAGAAAAAUGAGGGCGGUGCUUCCCAACUUGAGUGUGCAUGAGGAUUACCUGAUUUUAUUUCCUUCAAAGACAGUCUGAUUCCCUAGGUCUGGGGCAGGGCCCAGGACUCUGCAGUUCUCACAGUCCAACCCGCUGAAGUCCGUGCUACCGGUGUGUGGACCGUGUUCUAAGUAGUACUGAGCUAGAGUGCUGGUGAGUGGAAAAUCAGAUGGGUGACAUUGUAGGAAAAAUGCAGAAAGCUGUUGGCAUGGCCCACUGCUGAAUCAAAAUGUUUUGAAUAUCAACUUAUUGUUACAGGCAGCCCCAAAAGCAAUAGACAUUGCCAUAGUAAUUGUUAAAGUGAGUUUCAUCUGAUUUCCAAGGGUUAGAAAUGUUCUCAUGGAUUUUGUUAAAAAGGCAAUUAGAUAAACCAUUAUUUGGGGUUCACUUUUAAGCUCCCAGUACUCCCCAAAUCAAAAGGCAUUUAUACCCCCAGCAUGUGAAAAGUCAGCAAUGGAUGGAGGCCAUUUAGUGGAGGCUUUGAAGCAAUGAAUAGUGUCCGUUUUCAAGUCCUCUUCAUGAUUCUGAAAGGAUAUGGAGGCCCUGUUCAGUGUGCAGACAUCGCCCUGACAGCUAGAAGGUUCUAAACACAAGGAUAAAGGAUUAUACUUCUUAUUCAGCCAAACCUGCAACUUACCGAAGCCUGGAUUGUGCUUUGAUUUGAUGGGUUUAGGUUGAGUUUGUUUAUUUCUGUGGAGAGUACAACCAGAACACAUUUCAAUUUGACACUGGGUCUUUUGCAGGUUUAUUCAAGAUGCAAAGAAUGAUCAGGGGGAGGAUUAGAGGUUACAUGAUUCAGUUCUGAUGUACUAACAGCUUUCAGUAGCACUUAUUAGCCCCUUUGGCCACAGCGGCCACUGUGUAGGAGGCCAUAGAAGACCAUGUUUGGGGUCUGUUCAGGGUAUUGUGCAGAGGAAGAAAACUUGUGGGCAGCCUCUUAAGCAGCAAAGAAAAAUAAGCACAAAACACCAGCGGAGAGCAAUAGGGCGCACUGUGAGAACUGCAGGAGGUGAAAGCCCACUGGAGUGAGGGUAAGGCUUAGUAAGGUGAAGGCUAUAAACAGAACACACAAGUUUUAGUUAAGGGAUGGGUAGGAUGGAGGUGAUUUAUGCAAAUAGAUUACAAAACACCAAAUGUUUAGAAGAAGACAGCAAAACCUACUGUUUAUCCCAACUGCAGCUAUGCAAAAAGAUUAACUCUUAGAUUUUCCUUAACCAAAGCCCAUCAGGCCCUUGCAGUCUUAUUCUCCCCCACCAGAAAGGCAUCUGGGAUGGUGUUGUGGUUGAAUUGUGUAAUUGUGUCCCCUGUAAAAGAUGUUCAAGUCCAACCUUUAGUAUUUGUGAAUGUGAUCUUGUUUGUAAAUAGGGUCCUUGCAGAUGACCAAGUUAAGAGGAGGUCAUUAGGGUGGGCCCUCAUCUGAUAUGACUGGUGUCCUUACAAAAGGGCACAUUUGGACCCAGAAACAUGUACAUUGUGGAGGCAGGAGAACAUUAUUCUACAAGCCAAGGAAUGCCUAAGGAGAAAGUCCUGGAACAGAUUCUCCCUCAGCCCUCAGAAGGAGCCAACCCUGCCGACGCCUUGAUCUCAGAGUUACAGUCUCCAGAACUGUGAGACAAUACAUUUCUGUUGUUUAAGCCAGCCAGCUUGUGGUACUCCAUUACAUUGAUCCCAGGUGCUCUUCAAAAUAAUGAGAUGGCAAAAGAGGAGGGCUUCUUAUGUAUUAGCUGUUACUGCAGUAAGACUGCCUGCGAGCAAACUUCAAAUUUCAAUAGCUUAGAGCAACAACGAGCGUUGGUUUCUCUCUCGCCCACCUGUGGGUUGGCUGGGGUUCAGCUGAUCCAGACAGGGCUCUGCUGGGCUUUGCUCAAAGGUGUAUGUUCCAUCAGGGUUGGCUCCACAUGGCUCUCACCCUCCUCACACCACUAGUUACCUGAGACAUGUUCUUAUGGUGAAAGACAGGAGGGUAAGCACGAUGAUGCAGGUACCUGUCUAGCCUCUGUUUCAUGUCUGUCGCUGUCCGGUUGGUCAAAGCACAGUGUGUAGCCAAGCCCAAGUCUGAGAGGUAAGGAAGUGCAAUCCAGCAGCAUGAAGCCAUAGCCAUGAUGUGGACGACUGGGGAGUGAGGAAGUGAGAACUGUAAUUCAACAGACCGCAUUUGACUUCAGAAUUGAAUGUGAAAUCCAAGGGGUGCUUGAUGCCCCUGGUCGGAACUCAUGGUGUUUAAGGAAAUAGGAAAAUGUGUUUUUCAGAGGGAGCAGCACAGACUGUCCAUCUUGACUGACAUAUGUGAAGACUGAACCUUAAAAGCCUGUAUUGCACUUUGAAUGAAGCAGUCAACAGAUGACCUCUUGUUAGCGAACAGCUGGUAAAAUCUUUAAGGAAAUAAAGCAAAACACGAACAUGUGCCUCACAAGGAAGAAAUGAACAACCCAAAAUGAGAUGACCAGCUUUCUCUUUCAUGGAACAAAUGCAUUUAACCCGGCUGAAAUCCACAGGCCAUCAAAAUUUGGAGGACUAAUGUCAACAUCCUCAUGGAAGAAUCAGAAUGCUACAAUAAUGUUACUAGGAAGAAAGCAAUGGAGAGCUGCAAAGUCACAUUCUGAACCCAGCCUGUUCAGGCUAGCUUUUCAGUCAUCUCUGAGAUUCCUGUUGCAUUCAUCCUGCAAUGUUAAGUGCCUUCUCUGGAAAGUCCCAGGGGUGUAAAGAUGUCCGGACCAUGAGGAAGCCUUCAAGUGGCUCAAAGACAGGAGAAAACAGACAGAUAUGAAGGACAGGCACCACUUUGACAUACCUUCCAAGGAAAGAGAAAACCAUCGCAAUGCCUUUGGCAGAAUUAAUCUGUGCAUCUUGUGUUGGGGAAGAGUAGGAGGUGGUGUGACUUUAAGAUCAUGGAUGAGGAAGGGAGCCAGCCUGGUGUUCUGCUGGUAAGCAACUGGAUGGCUCUGCUGCUUCUUAAAAUACUGAAAUAAUUCUAUGCCUCUUGGAAAGGAGCUGCUGCCCUGAGCCCUCAGGGCCUUUCCCUUCUUCUCUUCCUCUCUCCUGUCCUCUCCUCUGUUCCCCUUCCCCCCUCCCUUCCUCCUUCCCUCCUCCAGUCGAUCUGCACUGAAUACUUCCCAUUGGCAUAGAUAGCCCUGAAUAAGAAUUAAAAACAAACAAACACCAGGAAGCAUCCACAGGUAUAUUUAGGCGUGUGACAAAACAUCUGAACUGUUAAAAGGCACAAUAAUAAUGAUGCCUGACAUUUCUUCAGGCACCUUUUUAAGAACCUCAUCUUAUGAUAACGCUAGAAGACGAAGAUUAUUGUUAUCCCCUUUUGUCCGAUGACAAAACUGAGAACCUGAGAGAUUAGGCAAUUUUCUCAAGGUCACAUAGAAGUAGGUAGCAGCGAAUGCUAGGAAUCUAGCCCAGGAAGUUCACUCAUGGAUGCCAUGCACUUAACCACUGUCACCACUGUGUUGUGCUGCCCGGGAGCAUGGAGAUCGGCAUCAACCUGAAUGGCACUGCUGGCAGUUACAGAAGGACAGGGAAGGGAACCAUGGCUGUCAGUGUUCGGUCAGGAAAGCAGAAACCACUCUGCCUAUCUUAAAGAGGGUGUAUUUGCAUUUUUUAAUGUUUAUUUAUUUUAGAGAAAGAGAGAGACAGAGACAGAG